rnacentral:lncRNA from 1 species
UUCUUUACGAAUCAUCGAUCAACAGUUUCUCGUGAUUAACAUACGAAAGUUGAAAUCCGAGAUCCAGAUUAGAUAAUCUAAUUGAUUUUACCUAAGUUUGAGCUCGAGAACAAUUAAUAUUAAUAAACCCCUAAAAACUCAAAUUAAGUUACAUAUUUAUCAUACCUCAGAAUAUACAUGAAUCUAGCUAUUUUCCCAACUGUUAACAACCUCAGAUCAAACCAAUCAAACAACUGUCUUGCUCACCAUUUCAUUUACAGCUUAAAACCUGUUAAUCUAGCU